CCUACGGGAGGCAGCAGGGAGGAAUAUGGGUCAAUGGACGCAAGUCUGAACCAGCCAAGCCGAGUGGAGGAAGACGGCUCUAUGAGUUGUAAACUGCUUUUGUAAGAGGGUAAACGCAGAUACGCGUAUCUGUCUGAAAGUAUCGUACGAAUAAGGAUAGGCUAACUCCGAGCCAGCAGCCGCGGUAAUACGGAGGAUUCAAGAGUUAUCCGGAUUGUUUGGGUUUAAAGGGUGCGUAGGCGGUCGGAUAAGUUAGAGGUGAAAACCCGAGGCUCAACUUCGGAAUUUCCUCUGUUACUGUUCGGCUAGAGAGUAGUUGCGGUAGGCGGAAUGUAUGGUGUAGCGGUGUAAUGCUUAGAGUUCAUACAGAACACCGAUUGCGAAGGCAGCUUACCAAGCUACUUCUGACGUUGAGGCACGAAAGCGUGGGGAGCAAACAGGAUUAGAUACCCGGGUAGUC
rnacentral:rRNA from 1 species